GAGGUCACUGAAUAUCGGGGUUCGAUUAAGCCAUGCGAGUCGAGAGGGUUCAGACCCUCGGCGGACUGCUCAGUAACACGUGGAUAAUCUGCCCUAUGGCGGAGGAUAACCCCGGGAAACUGGGGAUAAUACUCCAUAAGUUAGGAGUACUGGAAUGUCUCCUAACUAAAAGUUUCGGCGCCAUAGAAUGAAUCUGCGGCCGAUUAGAUAGUUGUUGGGGUAACGGCCCAACAAGCCCGUAAUCGGUACGGGUUGUGGGAGCAAGAGCCCGGAGAUGGAAUCUGGAACACGAUUUCAGGCCCUACGGGGCGCAGCAGGCGCGAAAACUUUACAAUGCAGGAAACUGUGAUAAGGGAACCCCGAGUGCCCGUACACGCGGGCUGUCCCGGUGUUUAAAACACAUCGGAAGAAAGGGCCGGGCAAGACCGGUGCCAGCCGCCGCGGUAUUACCGGCGGCUCGAGUGGUGACCACUUUUAUUGGGCUUAAAGCGUUCGUAGCUUGAUUUUUAAGUCUCUUGGGAAAUCUCACGGCUUAACUGUGAGGCGUCUAAGAGAUACUGGGAAUCUAGGGACCGGGAGAGGUAAGAGGUACUUCAGGGGUAGAAGUGAAAUUCUGUAAUCCUUGAGGGACCACCGAUGGCGAAGGCAUCUUACCAGAACGGCUUCGACAGUGAGGAACGAAAGCUGGGGGAGCGAACGGGAUUAGAUACCCCGGUAGUCCCAGCCGUAAACUAUGCGCGUUAGGUGUGCCUGUAACUACGAGUUACCGGGGUGCCGAAGUGAAAAACGUGAAACGUGCCGCCUGGGGGAAGUACGGGUCGCAAGGCUGAAACUUAAAGGAAUUGGCGGGGGAGCACCACAACGGGUGGAGCCUGCGGUUUAAUUGGACUCAACGCCGGGCAGCUCACCGGAUAGAACAGCGGAAUGAUAGCCGGGCUGAGAC
rnacentral:rRNA from 1 species